rnacentral:piRNA from 1 species
UGGAAAACUGUUUUUCUUUUCAGAUCUCCUU